GCGCACAACAGAACGGUAUGCAGCCUGAUUUCAAUAUCCACUAUACACGAGACCUUUCCCUGUUGAAUGUGAACUCAGACUCAUAAAGCACGGCUGUAGCGUUUGACUCAAGAAACUGGAGCAGGUUUUGGCCCCUCCAUCUGUUUUCUUGACCAUCACUCCACGCUGAGCGCGCUCCAUAAGGUGAUGCGACGCUCAUGGCGGGGUCCCUGCUACGCUCUCCCUACAACCAAUGAGACCGCCCCACGCUCCAGUCACGUGAUAGAAAGAAGCGGUGGCUUCUUGACACCGUAAGCCAAGAAAGAGUGGAAAUGUGUGGUCGUGGUUCAGCACAAAAAAAAAGCCCAACAUCUGAUUCUGGACCUAUCAUGCUGCUGAUAAAACUAGAAGAUGCCCCUGCCGAGGGAUGCCAGGAGCAGUGAGAUUCUGACACUGGGAGCAGCUUACUGGUGCAAACCUGACACCAGCAGGUGCCAGUCAGUCAUCAUGGUGGAUCUGAAAUUUGGUUUGAUGACGUCAAUAUGAGAAACUACAGACUGAUAGGAGGAACCAAAGAGCCCAAUAAAGAAAAAAAGGAAGCUGGGUGUAAAUGUCACUCCCACGACUCAGACUGCCUCUCCUUGUAAUGCCAGUCCGUCUUCUUCCUGUGCCGGUUCAGUUAAGCCCCAUCCCAUGAUCCCCCUGACGAGCAACUCCACCAACCAGCCAGCUUCUGUGUGUCCAAGUCUAGCAGUGGAUGUAGGUAACAGCUUAAUGAACGCUCCUUGGUCCUACAGCAGCACCAACUUCUCAAUCUGCUCCGACCAGAAGGUGACAGCAAGGAACGAGACGCGUUUGCAGAGUGGCUCCGGUCAGCCAUUCACAACUUUGAUGCACUCUAUCUGGAGGAGGUGCCAGCGGGAGCUGAGUGAUGUAAUGUACAGGUUUAUCGGAGAGAAUGAUGCUGUGAGGGCCGGUGGCCAGGCUACUGGUCAGUUUUCUGACCCAACUGCGCAAAAUGACCUGGAAGAACACAAAUGGAGGCCAAAAUAAUUGCUAAAGCUUUCUAGGAUAGAAACUGUGUUUGUACUUCUUUUAUCAUCUCCUUCAAGUCUGAGUAAGUCUGGAAAGAUGAAAAUUGAAGCACAGACUUUUCCUUAUUCUGCAAUCUAGAAGAAAAAAAUAAAUAAAAACAUGAGAGGUCCUUAUA